rnacentral:rRNA from 1 species
CCUACGGGUGGCAGCAGUGAGGAAUAUUGGUCAAUGGACGAGAGUCUGAACCAGCCAAGUAGCGUGAAGGAUGACUGCCCUAUGGGUUGUAAACUUCUUUUAUAUGGGAGUAAAAUGUUCCACGUGUGGGAUUUUGUAUGUACCAUAUGAAUAAGGAUCGGCUAACUCCGUGCCAGCAGCCGCGGUAAUACGGAGGAUCCGAGCGUUAUCCGGAUUUAUUGGGUUUAAAGGGAGCGGAGGUGGAUUGUUAAGUCAGUUGUGAAAGUUUGGGGCUCAACCGUAAAAUUGCCGUUGAAACUGGAAGUCUUGAGUACAGUAGAGGUGGGCGGAAUUCGUGGUGUAGCGGUGAAAUGCUUAGAUAUCACGAAGAACUCCGAUUGCGAAGGCAGCUCACCGGACUGCAACUGACACUGAGGCUCGAAAGUGUGGGUAUCAAACAGGAUUAGAUACCCGAGUAGUC